rnacentral:rRNA from 1 species
AGUGAACGCUGGCGGUAGGCCUAACACAUGCAAGUCGAACGGCAGCACAGUAAGAGCUUGCUCUUACGGGUGGCGAGUGGCGGACGGGUGAGGAAUACAUCGGAAUCUACUUUUUCGUGGGGGAUAACGUAGGGAAACUUACGCUAAUACCGCAUACGACCUACGGGUGAAAGCAGGGGAUCUUCGGACCUUGCGCGAUUGAAUGAGCCGAUGUCGGAUUAGCUAGUUGGCGGGGUAAAGGCCCACCAAGGCGACGAUCCGUAGCUGGUCUGAGAGGAUGAGCGCCCACACUGAAAAUGAGAACCGGUCCAGACCCCAAGGGGGGGCAGUAGGGGGGAAAUUUGGAAAAGGGGGGAAAGCCUGACCCAGCCAUACCGGGUGGGGGAAGAAGGCCUUCAGUUUGUAAACCCCUUUUUUUGGGAAAAAAAAGCAGCAGGUUAAACCCCCGCUGUUCUGACGGUACCAAAAGAAUAAGCACCGGCUAACUUCGU